ACCGCUGAUGACAAUCCUUCACCACAAAUGUAACUCGGGAAAACUGAACCACCACGUGUGGGUGAUGAGCCACCGUACGGAACAAUCGUUAGAUAGUAAGUCUGAGCU
rnacentral:sRNA from 2 species